rnacentral:rRNA from 1 species
CGAGGCACUUGGGAUGGCGGAAUGAACUUUGCUUUGAGGCCAGCUUGCUGGUACCCGGGCUGGGGGAUUUCUGUUCGUUCUAGGUGUUCUGCGGUGGGACAAGGCUUUGCGGGCCUGGUUGRGUGCCGAGCUGGGUGUCGGUGGCGGUCGCAUGCGACACGUACUGUGCCACCAGUUCGGUCCUGGCCGAGCUCACUCCAUGUCCAAUCUCGGCGUAAAAGCUGGUCAUCUUUCCGACCCGUCUUGAAACACGGACCAAGGAGUUUAUCGUGUGCGCGAGUCAUUGGGCGUUGAAAACCCAAAGGCGCAAUGAAAGUAAAUGUAUCCAUUCGGAACUGAUGUGCGACCCGGGUCACUUCGGUGGCCCGGAGCAGCAUGGCCCCAUCCUGACUGCUUGCAGUGGGGUGGAGGAUGAGCGUACGCGAUGAGA